rnacentral:rRNA from 1 species
ACGAACGCUGGCGGCGUGCCUAAUACAUGCAAGUUGAGCGCUGAAGGUUGGUACUUGUACCAACUGGAUGAGCAGCGAACGGGUGAGUAACGCGUGGGGAAUCUGCCUUUGAGCGGGGGACAACAUUUGGAAACGAAUGCUAAUACCGCAUAAAAACUUUAAACACAAGUUUUAAGUUUGAAAGAUGCAAUUGCAUCACUCAAAGAUGAUCCCGCGUUGUAUUAGCUAGUUGGUGAGGUAAAGGCUCACCAAGGCGAUGAUACAUAGCUGACCUGAGAGGGUGAUCGGCCACAUUGGGACUGAGACACGGCCCAAACUCCUACGGGAGGCAGCAGUAGGGAAUCUUCGGCAAUGGACGAAAGUCUGAUCGAGCAACGCCGCGUGAGUGAAGAAGGUUUUCGGAUCGUAAAACUCUGUUGGUAGAGAAGAACGUUGGUGAGAGUGGAAAGCUCAUCAAGUGACGGUAACUACCCAGAAAGGGACGGCUAACUACGUG